UUUCUACAGCUCCACCUCCUAGUGCUAAUGUAAGCUCAUUAGAAGAGAAUACAAGAAUGGGUCUCCGAAGAAGAAGACACCACCACAGAUUUCUCCAUCGACAAUACCGUGCGCAAGAGAUCAGACGUCACUCCAACUUUCAUUCCUACGUAACUGCUUCAACAUAUAGAGUUCCAGAAACAACAAAUCAUUCAAGAAGUUCUUCAAUGCCCAUACAAAAUGCACCUGAUAGAGACAACAUGCAUAAUCUUCAUCCUCCUGCAUUUCGUGAAUUUCCUUCGUAUAUGCUCAUGAACACUGAUGACAUGUCAUACGAGACACUUUAUAAUGUGCAAGAAUUUCCUUCAUUAGGUGACCCUCAUAGUGAUAUGCGCUUGGACAUUGAUGGCAUGUCAUAUGAGGCAAGUAUAUUAUAUAUGUAUAGUCUGAUGUUUUUUUUCUAUGCAUACUAAAAUCUUAGUGAUUAUGAAAAACUUUAAAUUACUAACGGUUUGAAAUUGGACAACAGGAGCUUCUUGAGUUAAGUGAAUGGAUCAGUGGCAACUCGGAAAAGGGUUUGUCAGAAGAUAUUAUUGCAAGACAUAUGCAGACAAAAAGUUAUCUAAUAUCUGAGAACUUGGGGGAUCAGGAAUCUGAUAUUUGCAUAAUAUGUCAGGAUGAAUAUAAAAAUAAAGAGGAGAUUGGAAUUCUUCAAUGCGGACAUGAAUACCAUGCAGAGUGUAUAAAGAGAUGGUUACAUGAGAAAAAUGUUUGUCCCAUGUGCAAAUCAAAAGGAUUAACUAUUGAAUAGAUACGAAAAAUUAAAACUACAUAAUUCAUUA